rnacentral:rRNA from 1 species
ACUCCUACGGGAGGCAGCAGUAAGGAAUAUUGGUCAAUGGAGGGAACUCUGAACCAGCCAUGCCGCGUGAAGGAUGACGGCCCUCUGGGUUGUAAACUUCUUUUGGAUGGGGCGAAAAAACGGGAUUUAUCCUGGACUGACGGUACCAUCAGAAUAAGCACCGGCUAACUCCGUGCCAGCAGCCGCGGUAAU